UGGUGGAGCGAUUUGUCUGGUUAAUUCCGAUAACGAACGAGACUCUAGCCUACUAAAUAGUACGUGAAUCUUGACGUUCACGGUACUUCUUAGAGGGACUGACGGUGUUCAGCCGUACGAAAUUGAGCAAUAACA
rnacentral:rRNA from 1 species